rnacentral:rRNA from 1 species
CAGUAGCCGCGGUAAUACGGAGGGUGCAAGCGUUAAUCGGAAUUACUGGGCGUAAAGCGUGCGUAGGCGGCUUCUUAAGUCGGAUGUGAAAUCCCUGAGCUUAACUUAGGAAUUGCAUUCGAUACUGGGAAGCUAGAGUAUGGGAGAGGAUGGUAGAAUUCCAGGUGUAGCGGUGAAAUGCGUAGAGAUCUGGAGGAAUACCGAUGGCGAAGGCAGCCAUCUGGCCUAAUACUGACGCUGAGGUACGAAAGCAUGGGGAGCAAACAGGAUUAGAUACCCGAGUAGUCCCUGUCUCUUAUAA